AGUAGCUCAGUUGGUUAGAGCAUCUGACUGUUAAUCAGAGGGUCGCUGGUUCGAGCCCAGCC
rnacentral:tRNA from 1 species